rnacentral:tRNA from 1 species
GCGGGCGUAGUUCAGUCGGUUAGAACAGUUGAUUUGUAAUCAACGUGUCGUGGGUUCGAAUCCCUCCGUCCGCUACA